CGGCGGCGCUGGCAUGUCCGACGUGCACAUCUCUAGCUUCGGCGAAUAUGUGAUCGGCGGCGGCGGCUGCGGUGACCGGAAGAGUCGUGAACCGGCGGCCGGUUUCCGGUCUGGGCUGGCCGGAGUAUUUGUGGCUCCUUUUUUGUUGUAGAUUCGACAGAGUACCCACUCGUCAAGCCGUAGACUCUGCUUCUUCCGAGCGGAUCGAUCAACGCCGG
rnacentral:misc_RNA from 1 species